AUUGAACGCUGGCGGCAGGCCUAACACAUGCAAGUCGAACGGUAACAGGAAACAGCUUGCUGUUUCGCUGACGAGUGGCGGACGGGUGAGUAAUGUCUGGGAAACUGCCUGAUGGAGGGGGAUAACUACUAGAAACGGUAGCUAAUACCGCAUAACGUCGCAAGACCAAAGAGGGGGACCCUCGGGCCUCUUGCCAUCGGAUGUGCCCAGAUGGGAUUAGCUUGUUGGUGGGGUAACGGCUCACCAAGGCGACGAUCCCUAGCUGGUCUGAGAGGAUGACCAGCCACACUGGAACUGAGACACGGUCCAGACUCCUACGGGAGGCAGCAGUGGGGAAUAUUGCACAAUGGGCGCAAGCCUGAUGCAGCCAUGCCGCGUGUAUGAAGAAGGCCUUCGGGUUGUAAAGUACUUUCAGCGGGGAGGAAGGGAGUAAAGUUAAUACCUCUGCUCAUUGACGUUACCCGCAGAAGAAGCACCGGCUAACUCCGUG
rnacentral:rRNA from 1 species